GAUGAAGAACGUAGCGAAAUGCGAUACGUAAUGUGAAUUGCAGAAUUCAGUGAAUCAUCGAAUCUUUGAACGCAUAUUGCGCUCUUUGGUAUUCCGAAGAGCAUGCUUGUUUGAGUAUCAGUAAACACCUCAACCUCUUCUUGAUUUUUCAAAAGGAGGGUGGACUUGAGCUAUCCCAACAACCUUUACCGGUCGGCGGGCGGCUUGAAAUGCAGGUGCAGCUGGACUUUUAUCUGAGCUAAAAGCAUAUCUAUUUAGUCCUCGUCAAACAGGAUUAUUACUUUUGCUGCAGCUAACAUAAAGGAUAAUUGUCCUCUUUGCUGACUGAUGCAGGAUUUUACGACACUCUAUGUGUUGUUCAACUCGAUCUCAAAUCAAGUAAGACUACCCGCUGAACUUAAGCAUAUCAAUAAGCGGAGGA
rnacentral:misc_RNA from 1 species